rnacentral:rRNA from 1 species
UACGGAGGGGGCUAGCGUUGUUCGGAAUUACUGGGCGUAAAGCGCGCGUAGGCGGACCUGCAAGUCGGGGGUGAAAGCCCGAGGCUCAACCUCGGAACUGCCUUCGAUACUGCGGGUCUCGAGUCCGGGAGAGGUGAGUGGAAUUCCUAGUGUAUAGGUGAAAUUCGUAGAUAUUAGGAAGAACACCAGUGGCGAAGGCGGCUCACUGGCCCGGUACUGACGCUGAGGCGCGAAAGCGUGGGGAGCAAACAGG